GUCCACGCCGUAAACGAUGGAUGCUAGGUGUUGGGGGUAUUGACCCCUCCAGCGCCGCAGUUAACGCAUUAAGCAUCCCGCCUGGGGAGUACGGCCGCAAGGCUAAAACUCAAAGGAAUUGACGGGGGCCCCGCACAAGCGGUGGAGCAUGUGGUUUAAUUCGACGCAACGCGCAGAACCUUACCUGGGUUAAAUCCGCCGGAACCUUACAGAGAUGUAGGGGUGCUCUUCGGAGAAUCGGCGAGAAGGUGCUGCAUGGCUGUCGU
rnacentral:rRNA from 1 species